GUUGCUUUUGUCCUUCCUCCUCUGGUUUUUGUUGAGGUGAAAAUGUUUCGUUCUUCCGAAAUCUGUUUCGACUUCUAUGGAGUUGUCAAGAAAGGGAAAAGAGAACACAAUGUCUCUGGUCUUGCAGGGGAGCGACUGUUCGUAGAAACACAGCGACUCGUACCUUUAAAUGUCUGUGAUUAGGAUUUUCGUAACAGUUCAACCACUCUUUUCCGUGCGAGACCAUCAGUAGACGUGGGUUUGCUUUUAGAAAGAACUCUUCUCCAAGACACAAUAAUCCAUAAGACAAACUUCAAGGGUCUUUGCAGUUCUUCAUUUCAGAUCAGUUAUAUUAACGUCCCGGUUUAAAGCAACACUGGAGAUAUUCUGGGGCGGAUUUCGCAAUUUUGAACCAAGCUCAAAUGACAAGGACGACACCUGAGAUGGUCUCCCUCUCCAAACUUCUGCAAUACAGCAGAGGAAGGAUGUUUGACCUCGACGGAUUUAAGUUCAUCACUUGCUUACACGACGAUUCUUCGGUGGAAUGGAAAUCUGAAACUCUCCGAUUCUGAAGUGAGACCUUACCACCGAGCCACCGCGGUUCGUGAUGAGUUGAAUAUAUAUAUAUAUGCAAUACCUCUAUCAAUCUUUAUUUUCUUAAGGAAUGCAUUGGUACUUGACAAACUUUAUAACUUUGUCUAGAUGAAUUCUCACACUUGGAAAAUCAUUGGGAUGAAAAAAAAAUGUAAUUUCUUCUUCAAAUAUCGAAAUUAAAACUUUCUAUUGAUCGUA